UGGCGGACCCCUGAGUAACGCGUGAGCAACCUACCUUCUGAUGGGGGAUCACGUCUGGAAACGGACGCUAAUACCGCAUAAACCGAUGUUAUCGCAUGGUGAUAUCGGCAAAGAGAUAUCGUCAGGAGAUGGGCUCGCGUUGGAUUAGAUAGUUGGCGGGGUAACGGCCCACCAAGUCAACGAUCCAUAGCCGGACUGAGAGGUCGGACGGCCACAUUGGAACUGAGAUACGGUCCAGACUCCUACGGGAGGCAGCAGUGGGGAAUAUUGGGCAAUGGGCGAAAGCCUGACCCAGCGACGCCGCGUGAAGGAAGAAGGUCUUCGGAUUGUAAACUUCAGUAGGCAGGGACGAAGAAAGUGACGGUACCUGCAGAGUAAGCCACGGCUAACUACGUGCCAGCAGCCGCGGUAAUACGUAGGUGGCGAGCGUUAUCCGGAUUUACUGGGUGUA
rnacentral:rRNA from 1 species